rnacentral:rRNA from 1 species
UACGAAGGGGGCUAGCGUUGCUCGGAAUCACUGGGCGUAAAGGGUGCGUAGGCGGGUUUCUAAGUCAGAGGUGAAAGCCUGGAGCUCAACUCCAGAACUGCCUUUGAUACUGGAAGUCUUGAGUUCGGGAGAGGUGAGUGGAACUGCGAGUGUAGAGGUGAAAUUCGUAGAUAUUCGCAAGAACACCAGUGGCGAAGGCGGCUCACUGGCCCGAUACUGACGCUGAGGCGCGAAAG